rnacentral:rRNA from 1 species
GCAGUCGAGCGGAAGGCCCUUCGGGGUACUCGAGCGGCGAACGGGUGAGUAACACGUGAGCAACCUGCCCCAAGCUUUGGGAUAACCCUCGGAAACGGGGGCUAAUACCGAAUAUUACUGCUGGCCGCAUGGCUGGUGGUGGAAAGUUUUUCGGCUUGGGAUGGGCUCGCGGCCUAUCAGCUUGUUGGUGGGGUGAUGGCCUACCAAGGCGACGACGGGUAGCCGGCCUGAGAGGGCGACCGGCCACACUGGGACUGAGACACGGCCCAGACUCCUACGGGAGGCAGCAGUGGGGAAUAUUGCACAAUGGGCGGAAGCCUGAUGCAGCGACGCCGCGUGAGGGAUGACGGCCUUCGGGUUGUAAACCUCUUUCAGCAGGGACGAAGCGAGAGUGACGGUACCUGCAGAAGAAGCACCGGCCAACUACGUGCCAGCAGCCGCGGUAAGACGUAGGGUGCGAGCGUUGUCCGGAUUUAUUGGGCGUAAAGAGCUCGUAGGCGGCUUGUCGCGUCGACCGUGAAAACUUGGGGCUCAACCCCAAGCCUGCGGUCGAUACGGGCAGGCUAGAGUUCGGUAGGGGAGACUGGAAUUCCUGGUGUAGCGGUGAAAUGCGCAGAUAUCAGGAGGAACACCGGUGGCGAAGGCGGGUCUCUGGGCCGAUACUGACGCUGAGGAGCGAAAGCGUGGGGAGCGAACAGGAUUAGAUACCCUGGUAGUCCACGCUGUAAACGUUGGGCGCUAGGUGUGGGGGGGCCUCUCCGGUUCCCUGUGCCGCAGCUAACGCAUUAAGCCGCCCCGCCUGGGGAGUACGGCCGUCAAGG